rnacentral:rRNA from 1 species
GGGCGACGGUUGUCCCGGUUUAAGCGUGUAGGCUGGUUUUCCAGGCAAAUCCGGAAAACCAAGGCUGAGGCGUGAUGACGAGGCACUACGGUGCUGAAGCAACAAAUGCCCUGCUUCCAGGAAAAGCCUCUAAGCAUCAGGUAACAUCAAAUCGUACCCCAAACCGACACAGGUGGUCAGGUAGAGAAUACCAAGGCGCUUGAGAGAACUCGGGUGAAGGAACUAGGCAAAAUGGUGCCGUAACUUCGGGAGAAGGCACGCUGAUAUGUAGGUGAAGCGACUUGCUCGUGGAGCUGAAAUCAGUCGAAGAUACCAGCUGGCUGCAACUGUUUAUUAAAAACACAGCACUGUGCAAACACGAAAGUGGACGUAUACGGUGUGACGCCUGCCCGGUGCCGGAAGGUUAAUUGAUGGGGUUAGCGGUAACGCGAAGCUCUUGAUCGAAGCCCCGGUAAACGGCGGCCGUAACUAUAACGGUCCUAAGGUAGCGAAAUUCCUUGUCGGGUAAGUUCCGACCUGCACGAAUGGCGUAAUGAUGGCCAGGCUGUCUCCACCCGAGACUCAGUGAAAUUGAACUCGCUGUGAAGAUGCAGUGUACCCGCGGCAAGACGGAAAGACCCCGUGAACCUUUACUAUAGCUUGACACUGAACAUUGAGCCUUGAUGUGUAGGAUAGGUGGGAGGCUUUGAAGUGUGGACGCCAGUCUGCAUGGAGCCGACCUUGAAAUACCACCCUUUAAUGUUUGAUGUUCUAACGUUGGCCCGUAAUCCGGGUUGCGGACAGUGUCUGGUGGGUAGUUUGACUGGGGCGGUCUCCUCCUAAAGAGUAACGGAGGAGCACGAAGGUUGGCUAAUCCUGGUCGGACAUCAGGAGGUUAGUGCAAUGGCAUAAGCCAGCUUGACUGCGAGCGUGACGGCGCGAGCAGGUGCGAAAGCAGGUCAUAGUGAUCCGGUGGUUCUGAAUGGAAGGGCCAUCGCUCAACGGAUAAAAGGUACUCCGGGGAUAACAGGCUGAUACCGCCCAAGAGUUCAUAUCGACGGCGGUGUUUGGCACCUCGAUGUCGGCUCAUCACAUCCUGGGGCUGAAGUAGGUCCCAAGGGUAUGGCUGUUCGCCAUUUAAAGUGGUACGCGAGCUGGGUUUAGAACGUCGUGAGACAGUUCGGUCCCUAUCUGCCGUGGGCGCUGGAGAACUGAGGGGGGCUGCUCCUAGUACGAGAGGACCGGAGUGGACGCAUCACUGGUGUUCGGGUUGUCAUGCCAAUGGCACUGCCCGGUAGCUAAAUGCGGAAGAGAUAAGUGCUGAAAGCAUCUAAGCACGAAACUUGCCCCGAGAUGAGUUCUCCCUGAGACUUAGAGUCUCCUGAAGGAACGUUGAAGACGACGACGUUGAUAGGCCGGGUGUGUAAGCGCAGCGAUGCGUUGAGCUAACCGGUACUAAUGAACCGUGAGGCUUAACCUU